GGUCUUAUAUUCAAUAAUGAUCUUAGAAUGCAAUUCUGAUGGAGCAGUAAUCCUGCUAAGGCUU
rnacentral:tRNA from 1 species